AGUGUCUUUUCCUUACCCGCCGCACCCCCAUUCUUCUCCUACCAAAGGCCUUUAUAUUAGAACCCUAAUCCCCAUACUCAACCUAGUUCCCAUUUCUUUCUCCAUUUUUCUUUUUUCUUGCCCGCCGCACUCCCCCCCCCCCCCUCAUCAUUUUCCCUCUCCCAAAACCCUAAUCCUUAUCUUUUCCUCACCUUUCACAUUCACUCAACCUAGUCCCUAUUUCUUCCUUCAUUUUUCUUAUUACAUACACUUAACCCUCAUAUCUCACACAACCUCAAAGGGAUGAUCUAAACAAGAGUAACGUUACUUCUUUUUAUGGUUGCUAGAAAUUGGUAAGUAGAAGUUCAAUCCCUGAGCCUAUGUUAUUCCUCCUAUUUCCUCUUCAUGAACUUGUAUCCCUUAAAUCUUACUCAAUCUAUUGCGAAUAAGCUAAAAUAAGAGUCAUGCUACCUCUUUUUAUAGUAGCUACAAAGCAAUAAGGAGAUGUUCAAGCCCUAAGCCUCAUUUCUUCCUUUUAUCUCACGAUCCCUCAAUCUUAUCCCUAUUAUUUCGUCCUCUUGCCUCUCCACAUACUCUUAUUCCUUAUAUCUCACUCAAUGUCAAUAGGAUAAUCCAAAACAACAAUUGCACUUUUGAAACUAGAAGGAGAUAAAGAGAUGUAGUGUUUAGUGGUCAAGGACAAUGAUGGUAAAGAGAGAGACGAGAAACACGAUUGGUGAAAGUGCGACAACGACAGAGCCAAUUUUGGUAGGAAAUGAUGAGUUGGCAUAGAGAGUGGAAAUCAUAAAUGAUGGAACAUGUUUCGAGAAGUUGUAAACUGAAAUCAUAAGGUCCAUGGAAGUUUCAACUAUUAGACUAAGGUGUAAAGCACUUCAGACUAGCUCCACAGCUUAUGCUCCAUUUUCACAGGUUUCAAUAGUUCCAACAAGUCAAAUAAAAUGAGUCAUAGCCAGCUUGCUCAGCCCCAUAAAAGCUUCAGCAACAAAAACUCCUUGCCUUCUAAAGAGGCUUUGGUUGCUUGAAUUUCCAACUUCUUGCAUCUCUGAUUGUCCAAUCGACUAUCCUUGACUUAGGAUUUUCUUGAUUUAGUCUUGUUGAGGUUGGAGUUGAAGAUGAGUUUGAGUCUAAACAAGCUUUUUCCAACUUGUGUGGUGCUUUCUUACUUUGGUUUGGCUGAAACUCCCAGCAUUGCACUGUCAAAUCUUGUUAUAGGAUUUUAACCACUUGAUGAAGACGGAAGCCAUGAAAAGGUUUCAGUAUGACUAGAUCAUUAGGAGAGUGCAUGUUCUGUCUAACCAAACAACAUGACAACAAGGUAUUCAGCCACAUCUCAAGUAGAAUUUGUAUGAAGCUGAGUACAAUACAGUCAGUUGCAUCCAUGGUGCUUAUAGGCAUAUCCUUAGUCCUAGUUAGAGCUUUGGGAACCAGAUCUCAAGCAGUCAUUCUGAGGACUAAAGUCUGAUAUUCCUGAGGAGCUGCUUUAUGAAAGUGCCUUUCUCCUUAUCUUGUUGAGUGCAAAAGAAAGCUGCUACUAUUCCUUCAUUACCGAUGCUUUAUGCCUCGGGUUUCAAAUAUUUUUUGUGCAAUUCUUUGUCUUUCAUCACUUUGAAUCAAGGUGAUUACAAAAGAUCCCUCUAUUCUGAUACUUGGCCUAUACGAGGUAUCAACUUUGUAGUGCUCAUAGAAGUGAAAUUGGACACUCAUUUGGUUCUUUCUGAUGAUUUAAUUUCAUCUCAAGUAAAGAAUCAAAAUGGCAAUCAAAUACACCCGGGCCCUACGGGAAUGUCUCAUGUAAGGCUGAUGAUGCAUGGCAUGCCAAAAUUUGGUUAUUUGCGAAAGAAGUAUUUACUUUAGCGCUUGCUGCAGCUUGAAACCAUGAGAGUGAAAUUGGUUUACUUUUGAGGCAGAGACAUGAAUCCAUUUAAGCUUGGGCUAAGAAGGCCAUGAAAGGCAAAGAAUCACACAAAGUUAUUUGAAACCCUAAGGGUACAAGUAUGGGUAGUGAAGCAAUAGGACCAACUUCCUUCUGCCUUCAUGAAGAUAGAGAUAGAAGACGGGUCUUUCACAUCACAGCUCUUCAAGAAGCUCAAAUUUUAAUCCGCCGAGCUAUUGUAGAUCUGGCUCCUACAGCUCUUACAGUGGAACUGACCAUAUCAUACCUGCACUGAUAAAGUCUAAUUCUACAGGCAGGUCAAGCUUCAUACUUAUUCUGAUUUAAGCCACUGCUCGCCAUCUGUAGAACUGUGUGGGGCUAUUUGGUUAGAUAAACCAAGUCUUCAGAGCAUCAAUUUUAGAGACCUCCUAAUGGAAAUGCAAGCACUGCCCUAACAAUCUGGUCAUACUGAACCCCUUCAUGGAUUGUGUUUGCAUCAAGGGGUUAAACUCCUACUGGAUUUGGGGGCGCAAUGCGAGACUUUGGAGGGGAACCAAAGCAAGAACGCAAGCCCCAGGUUGGAAAAUCUUGUUCAAUGUGAAGCUUAUCUUCAACUUCAACACUAAGCAGGGCUAAACUAAGAAAUUCUCCUAGUCAAGGCAAUCCGAUUAGACAAUCAGAGAUCCAAGAAUCUGGAAGCCUAAGCAACUGUACCCCUUGAGGGGGGAAGUCUUUUUGCUUGCUGAAGAUUCUAUGGUGCUGCGUGAGCUGGCUAUGGCCCAUGUUAUUUGACUCGAUGGUACUGUUGGAACCUAUGAAAAAGGAGCCAAAGCUGUGCAGCUAGUCUUCAGUGGUUUACUCCAUAAUCUGAUGUUUGAGUUUUUGAAUUUAUUUUUGGUGACAUCUUAAAUACAAGAAGAAUUUGACAAAAUGUUUUCCUUAGUUGCUUUUGUGGUACAUUUAAUGGCAUGCAAUAUAAUCUUUCAUGAAG